UACAGAGGUCUCAAGCGUUGUUCGGAUUUACUGGGCGUAAAGGGCGCGUAGGCGGCUUAACAAGUCACUUGUGAAAUCUCCGGGCUUAACUCGGAACGGCCAAGUAGAAACUGUCAAGCUAGAGUGCGGAAGGGGCAAUCGGAAUUCUUGGUGUAGCGGUGAAAUGCGUAGAUAUCAAGAGGAACACCUGAGGUGAAGACGGGUUGCUGGCCGACACUGACGCUGAUGCGCGAAAGCCAGGGGAGCAAACGGG
rnacentral:rRNA from 1 species